rnacentral:rRNA from 1 species
CCUACGGGUGGCUGCAGUGAGGAAUAUUGGUCAAUGGGCGCGAGCCUGAACCAGCCAAGUCGCGUGAGGGAGGACGGCCCUACGGGUUGUAAACCUCUUUUGCCGGGGAGCAACGGGCGUCACGUGUGGCGCCACUGAGAGUACCCGGAGAAAAAGCAUCGGCUAACUCCGUGCCAUCAGCCGCGGUAAUACGGAGGAUGCGAGCGUUAUCCAGAUUUAUUGGGUUUAAAGGGUGCGUAGGCGGAUCGUUAAGUCAGUGGUCAAAUUGAGGGGCUCAACCCCUUCCCGCCAUUGAAACUGGCGUUCUUGAGUGGAAGAGAAGUAUGCGGAAUGCGUGGUGUAGCGGUGAAACGCAUAGACAUCACGCCGCACCCCGAUUGCGAAGGCAGCAUGCCGGCUUCCGCCUGACGCUGAAGCACGAAAGCGCCCGGCUCGAACAG